rnacentral:lncRNA from 13 species
AAAACACCUUGGUGGACCAGAGAGGACUUAGAGCAUGUGGCUAGCAAUAAUAAUAAUCAUCAUCAGGAAGGUAAGACCGGUCAUGAAUAGACUGGUCAGGACGGUAGACUGGUCAUGAAUAGACUGGUCAGGACGGUAGACUGGUCAUGAAGAGACUUGUCAGGAAGGUAGACUCAGGAAGGUAGACCGGUCGUGAAUAGACUGGUCAGGACGGUAGACUGGUCAUGAAGAGACUUGUCAGGGAGGUAGACUGGUCAGGAAGGUAGUUGAUAUUUUAUUAGGAUCCCCAUUAGCUGUUGCAAAAGCAGCAGCUACUCUUCCUGGGGUCCACACAAAACAUGAAACAUAAUACAGAACAUCAAUAGACAAGAACAGCUCAAGGACAGAACUACAGUACAUAUAUUUUUUUAAAGGCACACGCCUACAUAUCAAUACAUACACACAAACUAUCUAGGUCAAAUAGGGGAGAGGCGUUGUUCCGAGAGGUGUUGCUUUAUCUGUUUUUUGUAACCAGGUUUGCUGUGUAUUUGAGCAAUAUGAGAUGGAAGGAAGUUCCAUGCAAUAAGGGCUCUAUAUAAAACUGUACGUUUUCUUGAAUUUGAUCUGGAUUUGGGGAAUGUGAAAAGACCCCUGGUGGCAUGUCUGGUGGGAGAAGUGUUACGGUGAGUGAAUGAGGACCCAAAAGCGAACUAACUUAAACAGAGCUUCUUUAAUAACCAAACAUAGGUAGGCUCAGAUAGACCGGCAGAUUCCGACAGGACAGGACAAGGUUACAGCAAACAUGACGAUAGUCUGGUUCAGGCAUGAAACACAACAAACAAGAAUCCGACAAGGACAGGAACAAAAACAGAGAGAGAUAUAGGGACCUAAUCAGAGGGAAAAAGGGAACAGGUGGGAAACGGGGUGAAUGGGUAGUUAGGAGGAGACAAGGACAGGAACAAAAACAGAGAGAGAUAUAGGGACCUAAUCAGAGGGAAAAAGGGAACAGGUGGGAAACGGGGUGAAUGGGUAGUUAGGAGGAGACAAGGCACAGCUGGGGGAAAGAGGGGGAGAAAAGGUAACCUAACAACGACCAGCAGAGGGAGACAGGGUGAAGGGAAAGGACAGAAACACACAACAUGACAAUACAUGACAAGAAGUGUGUAUGCCAGAGCUGUGUGUAAGUUGACUAUGCAAACAAUUGGGGAUUUCCAACACAUGAUUGUCUCUCAUAAAAAGAAGAAGUGAUGCAGUCAGUCUCUCCUCAACUCUUGGCCAAGAGAGACUGGCAUGCAUAGUAUUUACAUUAGCCCUCUGAUUACAAUGAAGAGGAAAGUGUGCUGCUCUGUUCUGGGCCAGUUGCAGCUCAACUAGGGUUUUUUUGACGGCCGUGACAGAACUACCCACCACCAAAGGACCAAGCAGCGAGGCCAGGAGAGGCAGCCCGCCAAAAACAUUUUUGGGGGGAGGCACACGGGACGGUCGGCAGAGCCGAGGAUGGAACCAGAGCCUGUCGGGGUGAAAUUGGAUGGGAGCGAAGGGAGCGAAGCGUGUCCUCGGUUUGAUGUCACCUGAGUCAGCUCUCCAUACUUGUCCUGAGGUGCGUGCUAGCCGUCUGGUGAAGACUGUGCCAGCAGCACGCACCAGGCCUCCUGUGCGCCUCCCCAGCCC